rnacentral:rRNA from 1 species
UAGGGAAUUUUCGUCAAUGGGCGCAAGCCUGAACGAGCAAUGCCGCGUGAACGAGGAAGGUCUUCGGAUCGUAAAGUUCUGUUGAGAGGGAAAAAGGGUCACCAGAGGAAAUGCUGGUGAAGUGAUAUUACCUUUCGAGGAAGUCACGGCUAACUACGUGCCAGCAGCCGCGGUAAUACGUAGGUGGCGAGCGUUAUCCGGAAUGAUUGGGCGUAAAGGGUGCGUAGGCGGCCUGUUAAGUCUGAAGUGAAAGGUACCGGCUCAACCGGUACAGGCUUUGGAAACUGGCAGGCUGGAGGACAGGAGAGGGCGGUGGAACUCCAUGUGUAGCGGUAAAAUGCGUAGAUAUAUGGAAGAACACCAGUGGCGAAGGCGGCCGCCUGGCCUGUUACUGACGCUGAGGCACGAAAGCGUGGGGUAGCAAAGUAGGAUUAGAUACC